UACGUAGGGUCCGAGCGUUGUCCGGAAUUAUUGGGCGUAAAGGGCUCGUAGGCGGUUUGUCACGUCGGGGGUGAAAACUCAGGGCUCAACCCUGAGCGUGCUUCCGAUACGGGCAGACUAGAGGUAUGCAGGGGAGAACGGAAUUCCUGGUGUAGCGGUGGAAUGCGCAGAUAUCAGGAGGAACACCGGUGGCGAAGGCGGUUCUCUGGGCAUUACCUGACGCUGAGGAGCGAAAGCAUGGGGAGCGAACAGG
rnacentral:rRNA from 1 species